rnacentral:rRNA from 1 species
GACGAACGCUGGCGGCGUGCCUAAUACAUGCAAGUAGAACGCUGAAGAGAGGAGCUUGCUCUUCUUGGCUGAGUUGCGAACGGGUGAGUAACGCGUAGGUAACCUGCCUUGUAGCGGGGGAUAACUAUUGGAAACGAUAGCUAAUACCGCAUAACAAUGGAUGACACAUGUCAUUUAUUUUAAAGGUGCAAUUGCUCCACUACAAGAUGGACCUGCGUUGUAUUAGCUAGUAGGUGAGGUAACGGCUCACCUAGGCGACGAUACAUAGCCGACCUGAGAGGGUGAUCGGACACACUGGGACUGAGACAAGGCCCAGAAUCCUACGGGAGGCAGCAGUAGGGAAUCUUCGGCAAUGGGGGCAACCCUGACCGAGCAACGCCGCGUGAGGGAAGAAGGUUUUCGGAUCGUAAAGCUCGGUUGUAAGUCAAGAACGAGUGUGAGAGUGGAAAGUUCACACUGUGACGGUAGCUUACCAGAAAGAGACGGCUAACUACGUG